AGGACGAACGCUGGCGGCGUGCUUAACACAUGCAAGUCGAGCGGAAAGGCCACUUCGGUGGUACUCGAGCGGCGAACGGGUGAGUAACACGUGAGUAAUCUGCCCUUCACUUGGGGAUAACUACCGGAAACGGUGGCUAAUACCCGAUACGACAGCUCCUCGCAUGAGGUGGUUGUGGAAAGUUUUUUCGGUGGAGGAUGUGCUCGCGGCCUAUCAGCUUGUUGGUGGGGUAUGGCUUACCAAGGCUUUGACGGGUAGCCGGCCUGAGAGGGUGACCGGCCACAUUGGGACUGAGAUACGGCCCAGACUCCGUACGGGAGGCAGCAGUGGGGAAUAUUGCACAAGUGGGA
rnacentral:rRNA from 1 species